GACGAACGCUGGCGGCGUGCUUAACACAUGCAAGUCGAGCGAUGAAACACCUUCGGGUGCGGAUUAGCGGCGAACGGGUGAGGAACACGUGAGGAAUCUGCCUUCCACUCUGGGAUAACUCCGGGAAACCGGGGCUAAUACCGGAUACUUUCAACUGGCGGCAUCGCCGGUUGAAGAAAGUUUUUCGGUGGAAGAUGACCUCGCGGCCUAUCAGCUUGUUGGUGAGGGAAAGGCUCACAAAGGCGACGACGGGUAGCCGGCCUGAGAGGGCGACCGGACACACUGGGACUGAGACACGGCCCAGACUCCUACGGGAGGCAGCAGUGGGGAAUAUUGGGCAAUGGAGGAAACUCUGACCCAGCGACGCCGCGUGAGGGAUGAAGGCCUUCGGGUUGUAAACCUCUUUCAGCACCGACGAAGCGCAAGUGACGGUAGGUGCAGAAGAAGGACCGGCCAACUACGUGCCAGCCGCCGCAGUAA
rnacentral:rRNA from 1 species